rnacentral:rRNA from 1 species
CCUACGGGAGGCAGCAGUGAGGAAUAUUGGUCAAUGGGCGAGAGCCUGAACCAGCCAAGUCGCGUGAGGGAGUACUGCCCUAUGGGUUGUAAACCUCUUUUGUCGGGGAGCAAAAGCCGGACGUGUCCGGCUGUGAGAGUACCCGAAGAAAAAGCAUCGGCUAACUCCGUGCAAGCAGCCGCGGUAAUACGGAGGAUGCGAGCGUUAGCCGGAGUUUUUGGGUUAAAAGGGUGCGCGGGUGGAUUUUUAAGCCAGCUGUCAAAUCGUGGGGCUCAACCCCAUCCAGCCGUUGAAACUGGGGAUCUAGAGUGUGCGAGAGGUAUGCGGAAUGCGUGGUGUAGCGGUGAAAUGCAUAGAGAUCACGCAGAACCCUGAUUGCGAAGGCAGCAUACCGGUGCACAACUGACGCUCAGGCACGAAAGCGUGGGUAUCGAACAGGAUUAGAUACCCGGGUAGUC